GCGCUCAAGCUCAGCUCAUCGCCAUGGCUCGUAGUGUUCGUCGACGUGAAACGGACGCUGCUGCGCCGAAGCGAUGCGCCCACGGCUGUGUGCUGAACUCAUCCAAGGAGGAGGCGAGCACGUCCGCGGUGUGGCCUUGAUUGCCGGUGAAAUGUUGGGAGUCAUGCUUAGUUAGCUGACCAAGCAAUUCUUGGUCGGUUCUACAGAAAAAUCAGGUUGCUCGAGCGGGUAACAAGUGAGGUUUUCAAUGCCUGUUAGAGGAUGGCGCCCCGGAACUCUUCAAAUCACUGAUGAUGGCUGAAGGAAAAGGAAAAGAAGCUACCAAGGGGUCCUGCUGAAGGUUGUUCUAGCUGCCUGAUGAUCGAGUAACUUCAGGUUUUGAUUUUUAUUGUGUUCCUCCCUUUGUUGUGUUGUUUCCGGGCCGGGGGUCCUCAUUUAAACUUGAAGCUUGUGCAAUAUGGAGUCGAUCGAUGCCGUUCCUGGUGAUGUAUAUAUCUGGAUUGUGCAGUUGUGCUGCAUGUUGGGAAUGGGUCGAAGCGGCGUCCCGGUCUCUUCUUGUUGGUUGCUGUGGCAGUAUGAUGUAGUAACUUUUUGAUCAGUAGGCUGUUUGGGUUUCUUGCAUGUAAG
rnacentral:lncRNA from 1 species